GGGACCAGAGGCUGGUGUGUGGGGGUGCAGGGAGUGGGGCGAGGGUUGGGGCCGGCGGGGGAGGAGAGCUGCAGCUGGAUGGUUCUCCAGCUGUGCAUAUGGAACUGGCUGAGCAUGAGUGUUAACCAAAAGAAUGUGAACCUUGGAGCCCGGACUGGGGCAACACAGACUGCGCAGAGGCCGGUAGGUGAGGCCUCUGUGCACAGUUGGGCUGGCUGCAUGACGUGGGUGAUAUCCUGCAGUCAUGUGACUGUGUAUGAGAACAGUGCUCCUGGAGCUGGCGACACUGGGCACCGUGGCUCUGACCCCAGAGGAGGAGCAUCUCUGUUAGAGUCACUUGCUGGCACUUUGGUGGACAUGGGAGAGACGUAUUGGACUCAAGAAACGUAUGAAUGAAGCAGCAGCAGCCUGGGUUAUUAAGUCGCCCCUGUCCCAAGUACGACUUGGCUGCCUUUGUUGCUCCGGCAGGAGGUGAAGUCUGUUUCCCUACUCCUUGAAUCCAAGUUGGCCUUAUGACUCGCUUCAGCCAAUAGGAAGUGGCAGAUGUGUCAUGUUAAUUCUGAGUCUAAGUCUCAAGGAGCCUUUGUGAACUUCGUUUUCCUUCUAAACCUGUCCAGUCCUGUGAACAAACCCAGGCUGGCCUGCUGGAUGACAGGAGACCAAGUGAACCAGAGGCAAGUCAGCCCCACUAUCCAGGGCAGGCCUCAGAAAUGUGAAGAGCGCAGUGAGAUUUGGCAAAGUCAACCGACAGCUGACCUGCAGACACACGAGGGACCACCCAGCUGAGCCCUGCCCGGAUUGCCAACACACAGAAUCAUGAGCUAAGCUCUUCGUAUCUCCUAAUGAAGAACUGCACAGCACAGCCCUGCCUGGGUGAGCCCAAGAGACCUCUUCCCUGGAGAAGAUAUUGGAGAGAGGUUGGGGCUGACUCUGCAACAGGAUGAGAGAAGGAAUUAGCAUUUAUUGAGUUCCCGCUGUGUGCUCCCCUGUGCCAGACGGUUUUGCUGAUCACUGCAGAAACUCUGGAAGGCAAAUGAAUUGGAGCCUCUGGAUAAAGAAGCAAACGAUGAAGCUGGAGUCUGGGCCCAAGUCUGCUCAUUUCAAGCCCAUGUUCUUCCUGUGUUAUAUUGGGAUGCAGUCAAUCUAGAGCAGGAAGUAUAAACUCUGUGCCCUCCUUGCCUACGUAAUAUCUCUUGGGAGCUAUAGUGGAGGUAAAAUGAAAAGGUAGAAAACACUCUUUAUUAUUUCUGUUCUCAGGCAGGCAUAAUAAAUUUAUGUUCACAAAAUCAAAUGCCUUGAGUGGUCUGGUGGGAUAUGUAAACGUGAGUGCCAUGAUGAGCAGGAACUUGGGGAGAGGGUGUCAGAAUGGAACCA